GUAGGUGAACCUGCGGAAGGAUCAUUAACGAGUUAGGGUCUUCCAGGCCCGACCUCCCAACCCUAUGUUUAUUGAACCUCUGUUGCUUCGGCGGACCCGUCUCACGGCCGCCGGAGGACCGCUGAAAGGCGUCCUCUGGCCCGCGUCCGCCGAUGGCCAACCACUCAAACUCUGAAUCAAUCGUGUCAUAUGCCUGAGUCUAUGAUUAAAUUAAAGCAAAACUUUCAACAACGGAUCUCUUGGUUCUGGC
rnacentral:misc_RNA from 1 species